GUAAUGCAGAAGAGAAUUCAAAGGAUUCAAAGCUAUAAAUAGCAGACGUUCGAUGGAUAAUACGCAAUGUAUGUUUACUUAUCGAAACGUACACUAGAAAGAUUAAAGAAAAGUCAAGAAGUAGCGCAUUAUUUCAAUCGUCGUAACGGUAACGAUAACGGAUAUAAUUCUCGCUUGUAUUGUUGGUUUGCGCAUAUAGAAUACAUGUACUUGCAUUGGGAAGCAGAAAAUAAUAUAAAAGAGGGCUCUUAAACUUGGUGAAAAAAGUAACAGAAAUUGUGGAAAUGACCUAUUACCAGUGAUAUUUGUACGUCCGAACAGCAUACUACAGCGUGUGGAGAGAAUAUACGCAAAGUAAUACAUAAGUAGUUUGAAAUUAGUAAGGUUCUGUCACACAGCAUAAUAAUGGCAUUUCUUCAUGGUUUCUUAAUGAUCGUUCUAAUAAUCAUCAAUAUAUUUACACUGGGAAUAUCGGACAGCUUUGAAAGAUCCCCAAAGUUCACCGCCAACCAUCCUAUAUUUCGGCGACAUUAUACGUAUCCAACUACAUCAAAAAUUGCAUCAACACCUCUGAUAUACACUACUCCACGUAUUAUAGAUACUUUUGCAAAAAGUGAGGUGAAAUGCCCAAAUGGACAAAAGAAAGACUCACAAGGAAUAUGUCGCGAACGGGCAUAAUCGUAAAAUAUGUAAACAGCACGUAAGCACAAAAGUAUUGAUAACUUUUAUGAUACCAUCAUGAACUAACACAGAUAAUAAUAUAAGAGAUAAUUCAAGAGAUUUAGGAUAAUAUGUAGCGACCCACAGAUGUAUGAAUAAAUAUAAAUAAACAUGAUUAAUGUCAA